rnacentral:rRNA from 1 species
GAUGAACGCUGGCGGUAUGCCUAACACAUGCAAGUCGUACGAGAGUUUUUAACUCUAGUGGCGGACGGGUGAGUAACACGUGAGAAUUUACCUUUAGGAGGGGGGAUAACAAUUGGAAACGAAUGCUAAUACCCCAUAUGCUUUCGAGUGAAAUGGAUUUAUAAUUAUCUGCCUAAAGAAAAGCUCGCGGCUGAUUAGCUUGUUGGUAAGGUAAGAGCUUACCAAGGCGACGAUCAGUAUCUGGUUUGAGAGGACGAUCAGACACACUGGAACUGAGACACGGUCCAGACUCCUACGGGAGGCAGCAGUGGGGAAUUUUCCGCAAUGGGCGAAAGCCUGACGGAGCAAUACCGCGUGAGGGAAGACUGCCUAUGGGUUGUAAACCUCUUUUUCAGGGAGGAAUAAAAUGACGUGUACCUGAAGAAUAAGCAUCGGCUAACUCCGUG